rnacentral:rRNA from 1 species
AACGAACGCUGGCGGCAUGCCUAACACAUGCAAGUCGAACGAGACCUUGGGUCUAGUGGCGCACGGGUGCGUAACGCGUGGGAAUCUGCCCUUGGGUUCGGGAUAACAGUUGGAAACGACUGCUAAUACCGGAUGAUGACUUCGGUCCAAAGAUUUAUCGCCCAGGGAUGAGCCCGCGUAGGAUUAGCUAGUUGGUGAGG